AUAAUCUUCAAAUAAAUUGAUUUCUUAUAAUCUUAAUUUUUUUGAUAGUUUAAUAAAACAUACCAUAAAUCAAAUAAAAAUACAUAAGUCUAGUAUAUCCAAAUCCUUACUGAUAGAUGCAAGAACUUUCAUGUAUGCAACAAAAAGAAGAUCAUCUUUUGCUAUAUAUGCCAUGCCCAAUUUUGAUGGUGGGAAGAUAUCAAGUAGUAUUUCUAGCUAAUAUCAAGAUUUCGAAAAUAUUUUUUACAAGAAAAAUAUAAAUUUUUUUCUAGAACAUCAUCCUUAUGAUUAUUCCAUCAAUCAUCUAGAAAGAACUCAACCACCAUUUGAACCAAUCUAUAGCCUAUCAAAAAAUAAGUUGGCAUUAUUUAAAGAAUAUAUUAAUGAAAAUUUGGCUAAAAAUGCCAUAUAACAUUUUAAAUCUCCAACUGA
rnacentral:lncRNA from 1 species